rnacentral:rRNA from 1 species
UACGAAGGGGGCUAGCGUUGCUCGGAAUUACUGGGCGUAAAGGGAGCGUAGGCGGGUCGUCAAGUUGGGGGUGAAAGCCCAGGGCUCAACCCUGGAACUGCCUUCAAAACUGGCGACCUAGAGUAUGGUAGAGGUGUGUGGAACUCCGAGUGUAGAGGUGAAAUUCGUAAGAUAUUCGGAAGAACACCAGUGGCGAAGGCGACACACUGGGCCAUUACUGACGCUGAGGCUCGAAAGCGUGGGGAGCAAAC